rnacentral:sRNA from 1 species
GCUGGGUAUGGUGGUGCACACCUAUAAUCCCAGCAGUUUGGGAGGCUGAGUCAGGAGGAUCGCAAGUUCAGAGCCAGCCUCAGCAAUGGCAAGGUCCUAAGCAACUCAGUGAGACCCUGUCUCUA